rnacentral:rRNA from 1 species
GACGAACGCUGGCGGCGUGCUUAACACAUGCAAGUCGAACGGUGAAGGGGUCUGCUUUUGUGGGCCCUGGAUGAGUGGCGAACGGGUGAGUAACACGUGAGUAACCUGCCCCCUUCUUCUGGAUAACCGCAUGAAAGUGUGGCUAAUACGGGAUAUUCUGGGUCUGUCGCAUGAUGGGUCUGGGAAAGAUUGCGCCUUUGGGUGUUUUUGGUGGGGGAUGGGCUCGCGGCCUAUCAGCUUGUUGGUGGGGUGAUGGCCUACCAAGGCGGUGACGGGUAGCCGGCCUGAGAGGGUGGACGGUCACACUGGGACUGAGACACGGCGCAGACUCCUACGGGAGGCAGCAGUGGGGAAUAUUGCACAAUGGGCGAAAGCCUGAUGCAGCGACGCCGCGUGAGGGAUGGAGGCCUUCGGGUUGUAAACCUCUUUCGCCAGUGAAGCAGGCCUGCUCCUUGUGGGUGGGUUGACGGUAGCUGGAUAAGAAGCGCCGGCUAACUACGUG